rnacentral:rRNA from 1 species
UACGGGGGGGGCAAGCGUUGUUCGGAAUUACUGGGCGUAAAGGGUUUGUAGGUGGUCUGUUAAGUCAGACGUGAAAUCCCUCAGCUUAACUGGGGAACUGCGUCUGAGACUGAUGGACUUGAGGGCAGGAGAGGAACGCGGAAUUCCAGGUGUAGCGGUGAAAUGCGUAGAUAUCAGGAGGAACACCUGUGGUGUAGACAGCUUACUGGACCACGACUGACGCUGAGACACGAAAGCGUGGGUAGCAAACAGG